GACGAACGCUGGCGGCGUGCCUAAUACAUGCAAGUAGAACGCUGAAGAGAGGAGCUUGCUCUUCUUGGAUGAGUUGCGAACGGGUGAGUAACGCGUAGGUAACCUGCCUUGUAGCGGGGGAUAACUAUUGGAAACGAUAGCUAAUACCGCAUAACAAUGGAUGACACAUGUCAUUUAUUUGAAAGGGGCAAUUGCUCCACUACAAGAUGGACCUGCGUUGUAUUAGCUAGUAGGUGAGGUAACGGCUCACCUAGGCGACGAUACAUAGCCGACCUGAGAGGGUGAUCGGCCACACUGGGACUGAGACACGGCCCAGACUCCUACGGGAGGCAGCAGUAGGGAAUCUUCGGCAAUGGGGGCAACCCUGACCGAGCAACGCCGCGUGUGUGAAGAAGGUUUUCGGAUCGUAAAGCUCUGUUGUAAGUCAAGAACGAGUGUGAGAGUGGAAAGUUCACACUGGGACG
rnacentral:rRNA from 1 species